GGGUUCGAUUCCGGAGAGGGAGCCUGAGAAACGGCUACCANNNNNNNNNAAGGCAGCAGGCGCGCAAAUUACCCAAUCCCAAUACGGGGAGGUAGUGACAAUAAAUAACAAUAUGGGGCUCUUACGGGUCCCGUAAUUGGAAUGAGUACAAUUUAAAUCUCUUAACGAGGAACAAUUGGAGGGCAAGUCUGGUGCCAGCAGCCGCGGUAAUUCCAGCUCCAAUAGCGUAUAUUAAAGUUGUUGCAGUUAAAAAGCUCGUAGUUGAAUUUCGGAGUUUGUCGGUUGGUCGGGCUUCACUGUCCGCACUGGCCUGAUGGAUUCCUACCUUCUGAAUAACCAGCAUGCUAUUAAGUUAGUGCGUUGGGGAAGCAGAGCUAUUACCUUGAAAAAAUUAGAGUGCUUAAAGCAGGCUUUUGCUUGAAUAGAUUAGCAUGGAAUAAUAAAAUAGGACGGCAUGGUUCUAUUUUGUUGGUUUCUAGGAUCACCGUAAUGAUUAAUAGGGAUAGUUGGGGGCAUUAGUAUUCAAUUGUCAGAGGUGAAAUUCUUGGAUUUAUUGAAGACUAACUUCUGCGAAAGCAUUUGCCAAGGAUGUUUUCAUUAAUCAAGAACGAAAGUUAGGGGAUCGAAGACGAUCAGAUACCGUCGUAGUCUUAACCAUAAACUAUGCCGACUAGGGAUCGGACGAUGUUAAUUUUUUAAUGACUCGUUCGGCGCCUUACGGGAAACC
rnacentral:rRNA from 1 species